AGGCGAUUAGCUCAGUUGGUAGAGCAUCUCCUUUACACGGAGAGGGUCGGCGGUUCAAGCCCGUCAUCGCCUA
rnacentral:tRNA from 1 species